rnacentral:misc_RNA from 1 species
AAAUAAUGGAAUCAUUCCAUUAUUCCAGAGUCUCGCCAUGGCUGAGAGCACGGAGCAGGCCAGGCCUUUAGCUCCCGCUGCAUUCCAAUCCAUCAGCAAUGAAGAGGAAGCUUUAUCUACCCAAUUGAAGCUUCGACAGCGAAAAUACAUCAAGUGUUGCGGCUGUUUCACUGCCUUCUUCUUGAUUCUAGCCGUUACAAUUCUUGUCCUCUUUUUCACUGUUUUUCAUGUCAAGGAUCCUGUGAUCAGGAUAAGCAACAUAGCCCUGGACCAGCUAGAGCUACCGGUGCUACCUAAUGGGACUUUCAGCACAGGUACCAACGUCACAUUAGUAAUUGAAAUUUCAGUGAAAAACCGUAACAUGGCCUCCUUCAAGUUCAACAACGGCACAACAACUGUUUUGUAUAGCGGCACGGUGGUCGGCGAGGGGAUGACUCCGUCAGGAAAGGCCAAGGCAAGGAGUACCAUUCACAUGAACGUUACGGUGAUCAUGAUUCCUGAGAAAAUUUUGCAAGUUCCAAGGUGGGUUGCGGAUUUAAGUUCACGGAAGUUGACUAUGACCAGCAACACAAUAAUUGAUGGCAAGGUGAAGAUACUCGAACUUGUCAAGAAACAUCUUACGGUAGAAGUGAAUUGCACUAUUACAUACCAUUUUUCAAGCCAGGACAUUGAAAACAAUUGCAGACCACAUUUCAUUUGAGGCCUCAAUUGUUGUGUUUAAUGCUGAUGAUUGAUUUUAAUAGUAACUUGUAUACGAU